UGAUACUUGAAUCAAGGCCUGAAUAAACUGCUGAAAGAAGAAUCCUGUGUCGUGUUUUCCCUUGCCGGCGAGGGGUCGCGACAAUUGGUGGCCCGCUCGGGGAACUGAAUAUUCCUCGAACCCAGGAUCCAGAACUUUCAGCAGUCAGGGUGGUGCACCGGUAAGUUCCCAGGUAACUGGGAAUCCACAAGCAAAUAGCGGGACGCUCCUCUGUAAAUACAGAGAGAGCGGGGAAAAAUAAUAAAACAAGACGCUCCUCUGUAGCCAAAGAGAGAGCGGGGUUUUUGUACUUUCACUUUCUUUAUAGCUUUAAAAACAUUAUGGGCGUUGCUUCUUCAAGCCCAAUUUUGUUGGCCCUGGAUGGGUUGCUACGUUCAAAAGGACUUAAGGUAAAGCAGAGCACUUUGCAAAGGUUUUUGAGGGAAGCUGAUACAGCGGCUCCUUGGUUUGCCUUUUCAGGGAGUCUUACGGUUCCCAGCUGGGACAAAUUAGGAAAGGAUCUGGAUUUCGCUCAUGAGCAAGGUACCUUGCAGGGUGGCGUUAUAC
rnacentral:lncRNA from 1 species